rnacentral:rRNA from 1 species
AAUAGAUACCCCGGUAGUCCACGCCGUAAACGAUGCUAACUCGUUUUUGGGCCUUUGGGUUCAGAGACUAAGCGAAAGUGAUAAGUUAGCCACCUGGGGAGUACGUUCGCAAGAAUGAAACUCAAAGGAAUUGACGGGGGCCCGCACAAGCGGUGGAUUAUGUGGUUUAAUUCGAUGAUACGCGAGGAACCUUACCAAGGCUUAAAUGGGAAAUGACAGGCUUAGAAAUAGGCUUUUCUUCGGACAUUUUUCAAGGUGCUGCAUGGUUGUCGUCAGCUCGUGCCGUGAGGUGUUAGGUUAAGUCCUGCAACGAGCGCAACCCCUGUCACUAGUUGCCAUCAUUAAGUUGGGGACUCUAGUGAGACUGCCUACGCAAGUAGAGAGGAAGGUGGGGAUGACGUCAAAUCAUCACGGCCCUUACGCCUUGGGCCACACACGUAAUACAAUGGCCAGUACAGAGGGCAGCUACACAGCGAUGUGAUGCAAAUCUCGAAAGCUGGUCUCAGUUCGGAUUGGAGUCUGCAACUCGACUCU